GCAUGGGUGGCUCAAUGGCAACAGCACCACCUGGCUCAGACUGCCCUCUCCCAGGGGCGGGGGUUCAAGUCCCUCUACAGGCG